rnacentral:rRNA from 1 species
AUACGUAGGGUGCAAGCGUUAAUCGGAAUUACUGGGCGUAAAGCGUGCGCAGGCGGUUUUGUAAGACAGAGGGGAAAUCCCCGGGCUCAAACUGGGAACUGCCUUUGUGACUGCAAGGCUAGAGUACGGCAGAGGGGGAUGGAAUUCCGCGUGUAGCAGUGAAAUGCGGAGAUAUGCGGAGGAACACCGAUGGCGAAGGCAAUCCCCUGGGCCUGUACUGACGCUCAUGCACGAAAGCGUGGGGAGCAAACAGGAUUAGAUACCCUGGUAGUCCACGCCCUAAACGAUGUCAACUGGUUGUUGGGUCUUCAUUGACUCAGUAACGAAGCUAACGCGUGAAGUUGACCGCCUGGGGAGUACGGCCGCAAGGUUGAAACUUAAAGGAAUUGGCGGGG